rnacentral:rRNA from 1 species
ACGGAGAGUUUGAUCCUGGCUCAGGAUGAACGCUAGCGGCAGGCCUAAUACAUGCAAGUCGAGGGGUAGAUUUGACUUCGGUUGAAUUGAGACCGGCGGACGGGUGCGUAACGCGUAUGCAACCUACCCAUUACAGGGGGAUAGCCCGGGGAAACUCGGAUUAAUACCCCAUAGUUUCCUGUUUUUGCAUAAUUACAGGAAUAAAGAUUUAUCGGUAGUGGAUGGGCAUGCGUCUGAUUAGCUAGUUGGUGAGGUAACGGCUCACCAAGUCUACGAUCUUUAGGGGUUCUGAGAGGAUGAUCCCCCACACUGGUACUGAGAUACGGACCAGACUCCUACGGGAGGCAGCAGUAGGGAAUAUUGGUCAAUGG